rnacentral:rRNA from 1 species
GACGAACGCUGGCGGCGUGCUUAACACAUGCAAGUCGAGCGGAAAGGCCCUUUCGGGGGUACUCGAGCGGCGAACGGGUGAGUAACACGUGAGUAACCUGCCUUCGACUUCGGGAUAACCUCGGGAAACCGAGGCUAAUACCGGGUAUUCACAUUGUCUCGCAUGGGGUGGUGUGGAAAGGGUUUACCGGUUGGGGAUGGACUCGCGGCCUAUCAGCUUGUUGGUGGGGUAGUGGCCUACCAAGGCGACGACGGGUAGCCGGCCUGAGAGGGGGACCGGCCACACUGGGACUGAGACACGGCCCAGACUCCUACGGGAGGCAGCAGUGGGGAAUAUUGCGCAAUGGGCGGAAGCCUGACGCAGCGACGCCGCGUGGGGGAUGACGGCCUUCGGGUUGUAAACCUCUUUCAGCAGGGACGAAGGGUGACUGACGGUACCUGCAGAAGAAGCUCCGGCUAACUACGUGCCAGCCGCCGCCGUAACAC